ensembl:lincRNA
AAACUUUCUAUGGACUCAGAUCCAUGAUCCAGACUCCAGGAGAGGGAUGAGACUCAGGUACGCAGUUCUCCAAUCUUGGUGUGGAGCCAGAGUACAGAAGAAAAGACUAAGGUCACUUCAUACCAAGAUGCAUGUGGGAAAUCCCCAGGUUGCAGGCUUGUGGGUCCGCGCAAAAAGCAUGUUUGGCAAGACACCACGAAUCUCCGAGGGACGUGAUUAUGGCUCGGGGAUAGGGUCACCGCGUGCUUUGUUUGAGACUAUUGGACCCUAGGGACAGCCCUCGGAUCAGACACCAAACACAGCCUCGGCCGCACCCCGCCCCAGACAAAGAACUCAACUCCAGGCAGGUAAGCAAGGCACCACGCACCCGGCGGUGGACUGAGCACGGGGGCGCAGACAAAGACGCGCGCCCCCACCGUGCUCCGCCUGCCUACGCCGCGCGCCCGACGGACCCGGGACCCUCGCCAGACAACACCCUGCCGCUUGCUACCACAUGCGCCCCAGGUGCAGCCGCGGGAACACGGGGACUCUGAGGGACCUGCUCCAGCGAAGGAUGCGAGAGCGGGAUUCCCAGAGUCGCCCUCUUGCCCGUUCCCCUAAGGGGUCGGUGCUUCCCCACCCGCGAUGCCCUAAGUCCCGCUUUGCUCUUCGCGCACUGACCUCUCGGGUACCCAGAUCCUGCGCGCUUCUUUGCGUUCGUCGAUGGUUUCAGCCCUAGGUGCUGCACGGACGCGGGUGGCAGAGAAACUCCCGCGGGCCUGCCAUCCAGGGAGUCUCUUUCUGCAUGUCCAGCUCAGUCGGAACCCGGGCCGGGGGCACGCGAGGCGCACAGGUCCCCGCGCCUUCUCUGAGAGCUGCGGGCGCUCUGGGCGCAGCGGCCAGAAGCCGUCGAGCGGGCGGGGUGGUGGUGGCGCGGGCAGGCGGGGCGCUGUGUAGGCGGGGCACGGGCAGGCCCAACUAAUCCAGCCCCGAGGCGCAGAUCUGCCCGCGCAGGGUGGGUGACUGUUUGUCUGAUCUGACCCGGUGGUACCCCAGGCUUGGCACUCAAUGGCCACAAGAAACGCCCGUGGGCUCUACUCCACGUUCAUCACAAAAACAAGUUACAGACAACUGGUACUCUGUUUACAUUAAGGGAAACAGAGCCAGAAAGAAGCGAGACCACUGGCACGUCCAGGAGCUGGGGUAUGAAGGGCUGAGAGGAUCCCCAGAAUCAACAGCCAACCAACCCUAUUUUUGCUUUGAAUCCAGUUCUGACUCUAAGCCAUCCCACACUGAAAAGGGCUGUGACACCAGGGCUACUCCGUGAGCCCUAGUUACUUUACAGAAGGCCGGAGACAUAAAGCAUCUAGUUUUGUUUGUGAGGCCAGGGGGGCUGAUCCGAGUCCUCAGGAAGCUGAGUAAGCCUGCCUGCCACACAAGCCUUAGCACCAUGAGCCCUUCAAGCCCAGUACAUACACAGGUGAAACACAGAGCUCAGCCAUUCCAUGCAAUUCUAGCAAAUCCAUGUGGGCCCUUGAAAUUCGAGGACCCACACAAAGCUUGAGGUGGAAGGACUCCCACCUAGGCUUCAGAUGCCUGGUCCAGGAUGGGUAUGCACUUUGUGGGAAUUCAGCCAUUCCUAGGCCAGUGGGAGCCAGCUCUAUGGGGUGCGUUAGAGGUAGAAUGCCAGGCUGGGCCACCAGCCAUCUUUACAAAUUCAUCUUUACAACUGCAGCCCUUGGGAAUCCAGUGGUAACUGGAGUCCUGUCAGAAGUACCAGCCCCAACAGUAUCUUCAGCUCUUUCAUUAGGUUUGGCUUAUUUACCAAAUAAAGGUCCUCUCCUUAC